AACUACGUUUCGGAGUAUAACUCCAUCUUCAGGUUAAAAGAUACUUUUAACCUGAAGAUGGAGUUAUACUCCGAAACGUAGUU